CAAAUAGAGGCGCGGCUUUGCAAAAGUAGCGGGCGGGAGGUUUGCCAAAACCGGCGAAGCCCCGUGAAAGGGCGGGCCGCCGAAGGGCGCAUUUGGCAGAUGGGCCCUGGUUGUAACCGCGAACAGCGUUGCGACUGUCAUCUUUAUGAUGGAGUGCUAUUU
rnacentral:ncRNA from 1 species